GCUUUAAGAACUGUGGACCGGCUGGUCAACUGGAGAGGAAGCCAGGCCUGUUUAGAAAGAUAUAUCUUAUUUGUUCCUGACCUCUUCUGGAGCUCUCAGCGCAUUUCAGAGUUUAAUAGAUUAGACACCACAGCUCCACUAUGAAACAGAACUUGCAUUCCUUGGCUGCCUCUGGAUGUGCAAAUGCUGGUGGAGGCUGGAACCCCCCUGUGCCUGACUAGCAGCCAGCAGAUACCUUCCUUGGUCAAGGACCUUGCUGCAUCUCUCUGCAUUUCUCACUUCCAUUCUGGAUCACUGCACUCCUCACCAGAACAAAGUGUUUCCAUGAAGGGGUUAAUCCAGGUAGAAACUAAGAAAAAAAGCCAGAAGAUCUCCUGCCUGUGGAAAUGAAAGGAAGGAAGGAAGUAGGAAGGAAGUUAUUUGGACAAGCAAUUUGCAUCGAGCUGAGAGAUGCUGGAUUUUAAGAAAAAGCAGUAAAUGAUUGCAGGUCUUAACUUUCCUUGUUAAACUAAUGAGGUCUGUGUGGAUGGGGUUUACAUGAAAUGGGAUUCCUUCUAGGUUAAAUGGAAUGUCUGUAGAAUGGCAGCAAUGAUUUCUAAAGUGUAGGUCUGAUGGUCUCUCUGAAGUUGUUAUUCUUUAUGAAUAGGUUCAUAAAGAUUUUUCUCAGCUUUAUUACUUCUGUCUGAGAACAUAAAACUUUACACAUGCACUACAUAUUGAAUAUAUUUAAUGAUAUUGAAGUGUUCAUGAUAUGAGGCUCUGGUUACAGGCAGGUAGCAUCUUUGUGGGUAUGGGAUUAACUGUUAUUUUUCUAGCUGAAACUGUAGCGUAACUGCUGUUUUUCUAGCAGAAGCUGUACCUUAAUCCUGACAAAAACAGAAACAUCAGAAGGAUUUGCUCUGUGAAUAAGAAGUGAGACAGCAAAUCCGGGGUUUUAAGGUCUGCAGUUAAUAAAACUUUAUACUGCUGAGAAGUCAGUAAGUAUCU